AGGGCACCACCAGGAGUGGAGCCUGCGGCUUAAUUUGACUCAACACGGGAAAACUUACCCGGCCCGGACACUGGAAGGAUUGACAGAUUGAGAGCUCUUUCUUGAUUCAGUGGGUGGUGGUGCAUGGCCGUUCUUAGUUGGUGGAGCGAUUUGUCUGGUUAAUUCCGAUAACGAACGAAACUCUAGCCUACUAAAUAGACUGUUCAGCUUUAUAGCCGGAAUCACCGGGUGCGUAGCUUUCGGGUUGCGUAUUCGGCUCUGGUGACGCUGGCAGUGCUUCUUAGAGGGACGGGCGGCGGUUCAGCCGCACGAAACAGAGCAAUAACAGGCCUGUGAUGCCUUUAGAUGUCCGGGGCUGCACGCGCGCUACACUGAAGUGAUCAGCGUGCAAUUUACGUUUGGUGAUCUGUCAAGAUUGCCCAACCCGUUGAACCUUCUUCGUGAUUGGGAUAGGGGAUUGUAAUUAUUCCCCUUGAACGAGGAAUUCCCAGUAAGCGCAAGUCAUAAGCUUGCGUUGAU
rnacentral:rRNA from 1 species